rnacentral:tRNA from 1 species
AAGGGAGACCUAAUUCAGGUAGGAGACGAAAAAAAAGUAGUCGGUACCAAGAAUCAAUCCCAAAAGGUCGGAGCGAGGCGAAAUUGGCUUUCAAACUAGGUUCUGGGUUCACACAAGACCUGAAUCAGGAACAAGGGCUAUUAGCUCAGGUGGUUAGAGCGCACCCCUGAUAAGGGUGAGGUCCCUGGUUCGAGUCCAGGAUGGCCCACCUGCACAGGUGGCAAAAACAAGAGAAGCGAGGAAUCAGCACCUUAUCUUAUCUAUAUAUAAGAGAGAAUGCUGGCUCUGAGUAAAGAGUCCAGAGGAACCUUGAAACCUGCAUAGAGCUAGGUGAAAAAGCCAAAAAAGAAGACCGCAA